AGCAAGUGUCCGUUAAUGCCAAGGUCCUGCUGAUCCACACUCCCUGCAGGUCGUGGGAGGAAGACUGCCUGCAGCAGAUAGAAUGCUGGGAGAUGACUGACCUAUGCUAGGUAUGCAGGGCUCUGGGUUGCAGUCCUCCUUCUCUGCCGGUCUCAGCCUCUCGUCACAGCCCUCAGUGGACAGCAUGUCAUCAGACAGGCAGCGUACCUCCCGCACACGGAAACCUCUCUCACAUGUUUUGGAACACUGGAAGGGCAGGAGUCAGUGACAGCAGUCAGACCAGGUCAAUGUAACUUUGGGUGUGGCUUAUUUGACAGUUUCUCAUGAGGUAGAAGAAGAAGAAAAAAAACUUGAGAGAUGUUGUCAUUGCAGUUUUGAGGGCCAAACCUCAGUAAGGCUAGUAGGGAGGAAACACCUUGAUUAAGGACAUCUGAACAGCACAAGAGGAGAAGUUUACAGAUUUUACUCACAGCACUCCAGUCAGUGUGAUACCACUUUGCCCCACAGGCUUUCAGAUUGCAGCUUUGCUGGCUGAGGGGGCGAUCCAAAGAGGAGCACUCAUAUGGUGGCAUGAUGUUGAAUCCUUCAUCAGACUUCACCAAGCAUACCACCGACCUCUGCUGGCUGCCUGCACCACACUCUGCAGAGCACUGAGUCACAGACAGAUAUAUAACAUAUGGAUUCAAUAAUACAAAAGCUGAGACAGGGGCCUGUGAACCACUCAAUGCGGUUCUCACAGGGGCCGUUGUUGCAGACCUGAGAGUCGGCGGGACGCUCAUUGCCACAACCCUCCAGAGGAAGGCUGCUGAUGUGGUUGGUCAGGCAGAGGAUUCCCCGGGUCCGUACACCCAUCCCACAUUCAGCUGAGCACUGUGGAGUAAAGCGAUCAUAUAGAGGCAUCAGUAUUCAUUUC